rnacentral:rRNA from 1 species
UACGUAGGGUCCGAGCGUUGUCCGGAAUCACUGGGCGUAAAGCGCACGUAGGCGGAUGUUUCCGUCAGGGGUGAAAUCCCGGAGCUCAACUUCGGAACUGCCUUUGAUACAGCACGUCUUGAGUCCGAUAGAGGUGGGUGGAAUUCCUAGUGUAGAGGUGAAAUUCGUAGAUAUUAGGAAGAACACCGGUGGCGAAGGCGGCCCACUGGAUCGGUACUGACGCUGAGGUGCGAAAGCGUGGGGAGCAAACAGG